CCCUUAGAUGUUCUGGGCCGCACGCGCGCUACACUGAUGCAUUCAACGAGCCUAUCCUUGACCGACAGGUCCGGGUAAUCUUUGAAUCUGCAUCGUGACGGGGAUAGAUUAUUGCAAUUAUUAAUCUUCAACGAGGAAUGCCUAGUAGGCGCAAGUCAUCAGCUUGCGUCGAAUACGUCCCUGCCCUUUGUACACACCGCCCGUCGCUCCUACCGAUUGAGUGGUCCGGUGAGGCUUUGGGAUCUGAGCGGAAAGAGCGUUUCGCUGUUUCUGCCCGGAAAACUCAGUCGAACCUUAUCAUUUAGAGGAAGGAGAAGUCGUAACA
rnacentral:rRNA from 1 species